UGGGGAAUUUUGGACAAUGGGGGCAACCCUGAUCCAGCAAUGCCGCGUGUGUGAAGAAGGCCUUCGGGUUGUAAAGCACUUUUGUCCGGGAAGAAAUCCCCUGCCCUAAUACGGCGGGGGGAUGACGGUACCGGAAGAAUAAGCACCGGCUAACUACGUGCCAGCAGCCGCGGUAAUACGUAGGGUGCGAGCGUUAAUCGGAAUUACUGGGCGUAAAGCGUGCGCAGGCGGUGAUGUAAGACCGAUGUGAAAUCCCCGGGCUCAACCUGGGAACUGCAUUGGUGACUGCAUUGCUCGAGUAUGGCAGAGGGGGGUGGAAUUCCACGUGUAGCAGUGAAAUGCGUAGAGAUGUGGAGGAACACCGAUGGCGAAGGCAGCCCCCUGGGCAAUACUGACGCUCAUGCACGAAAGCGUGGGGAGCAAAACAGGAUUAGAUACCCUGGUAGUCCACGCCCUAAACGAUGUCAACUGGUUGUCGGGCCUUCAUUGGCCUGGUAACGUAGCUAACGCGUGAAGUUGACCGCCUGGGGAGUACGGUCGCAAGAUUAAAACUCAAAUGAAUUGACGGGGUCAUAGCUGUUUCCU
rnacentral:rRNA from 1 species